rnacentral:rRNA from 1 species
AUUAACGCGAAGAACCUUACCAAGGCUUGACAUGAUCCGGUAAGACCUGGAAACAGGUGCCCCGCUUGCGGCCGGUUUACAGGUGGUGCAUGGUUGUCGUCAGCUCGUGUCGUGAGAUGUUGGGUUAAGUCCCGCAACGAGCGCAACCCUCGUUCUAUGUUGCCAGCGGUUCGGCCGGGGACUCAUAGGAGACUGCCGGGGUCAACUCGGAGGAAGGUGGGGACGACGUCAAAUCAUCAUGCCCCUUAUGUCUUGGGCUUCACGCAUGCUACAAUGGCCGGUACAGAGGGCUGCGAUACCGUAAGGUGGAGCGAAUCCCAAAAAGCCGGUCUCAGUUCGGAUUGGGGUCUGCAACUCGACCCCAUGAAGUCGGAGUCGCUAGUAAUCGCAGAUCAGCAACGCUGCGGUGAAUACGUUCCCGGGCCUUGUACACACCGAAU